rnacentral:tRNA from 1 species
GGUGGCUCAAUGGUAGAGCGCUUGCCUUGUAUGCGUGAGGCCAUAGGUUCAAUUCCUCAGCACCA